UUGACCUCGGAUCCCGUAGGGAUACCCGCUGAACUUAAGUGUAUCGAAAACGGAGGAA
rnacentral:rRNA from 1 species